CCUUACAUUUAGUGCAGAAAAACAAAAAAACGAUGUAACAGUGAGUUUAUGCUGUCAAAUAGUUUUAUAUAUAUUUUCAAUAAUGUGGCCAUCAACCACCAUAUAGUUAUGAAAGCAACUUCUCAAGAGAUCUAAAUAAAAUCAUGUUGCUACAAUUCAUGUUAGUUUGUUAGAUACUUGUGAAAGAGAUGGGAAAAAAAGGUAAAUGGCUUAAGAAUUUCUUGACAGGGAAAAGAGAGAAAGAUAAAGAUAAAGAGAAAUCUACAAUAAACCAGAAUUUUUCUAAUGGAACAGAAAAUCCAACUACUCCGAUUUCGAGUUCAAAUUCAAGUUCUACGAAGGAGAAAAAGAGAUGGAGUUUUAGAAGAUCGUCUGCAUCGGCUACGCCAACGGUUUCUAAGGAGUUGAGUAAAUCUGAAGUUAUUGCUUCAGUGACAGUGCCAACUGUUACGGUUACUGAUAUUCAGAAUGAGCAGAGAAAUCAUGCUAUGGCUGUGGCUGUUGCAACAGCGGCCGCAGCUGAUGCUGCAGUGGCUGCUGCACAGGCUGCAGCUGUUGUGAUCCGCUUGACUUCUGGUUCGAAUGAGAAUUCUAGAAGUAUUGAAGAGGCUGCUGCUGUUAAAAUUCAAUGCGUCUAUCGAUCUCACUUGGCGAGAAAGGCGUUGCGUGCUUUGAGAGGAUUAGUGAAGUUGCAGGCACUGAUAAGGGGUCACUUGGUGAGAAAACAGGCUAAGGCAACACUUAGAUGUAUGCAGGCUUUGGUGACAGCACAAGCUAGAGCUCGUGCUCAACGGAUCCGAAUGGUGUCCGAAGGAAAGCCUAAUCCAAACCAAUCAACUCCUAGAAAUGUCAUGGAAAAUGACUUGUUCAGGCAAAUAUACAAUGAAAUGGACAGAGGCUUAGAAGACAACAUCAAGAUUGUUGAAAUGGACUUUUGUGAAUCAAAAGGUAACUCUACAAGCAGAAGCAGCAGUGUAAAUCAUCAUGGACAAUAUUAUGAACAAUCUGAACAUAGAUAUUCCACAAAUGGUUCCUAUUCUUACUCAAAAGAAGAAAACUACAAAGUAUCACCAGCUCCAUCAGCUUUAACAGAAAUGAGUCCAAAAGCAUGCAGUGGCCAUUUCGAAGAUUGCUUCAGCACAGCACAAAGCAGCCCUCAUUACUAUUCUGCUAUAUCGAAAACAGACGAUUCAGCUUCAAACCAUCCUUUUUCAUUCCCUAGACCAUCUUAUGCAGAAUCUAUGUCCUAUGAUUACCCUUUGUAUCCAAGUUACAUGGCUAAUACAGAAUCAUCCAAGGCUAAAGCUAGAUCACACAGUGCACCAAAACAAAGGCCAGAUUCAUUUGAGAGGCAACCGAGCCGACGAAGAAUUUCGGUUGAGGGAAGAAAUGUACCUAGGCCACUGAGGAUGCAGAGGUCAUCUUCACAUGUUGGUGCCACUGCUCAGAAUUACCAAUAUCCAUUGUCAAUUAAGCUUGAUAGAUCGGCGGUCUCGCUCCAUGACAGCGAGUGUGGCUCGACAAGUACAAUGCUUACGAAUACUAAUUACUGCAGAUCUCUUGUUGCAUAUGAUCCAGAUGGAGAUAGGAACUGAGAGUGUGCCUUGUGUUACACUCAAUAGAAGACACUUUGCAAGAACAUUAACCAUGAAUUUCUUUUCGAGAGUUUCCACUACAAUGUGAGCUCUUGACAGGAUUUGUCCAUGAACUUCCUUACGAAACGAUUAGAGUUUUACAAUGGCUUUCCACACAAUCAAAUCAAACACAGGAGUUUUAACGAUGGAGACUUCCCAACUAAAAGAUAACAUCACUAGGCCAAACUCACGAACCAAACGAGAGCUUUAAUUAUGGAGGCCUCCCAACCAAACAAAGGUUUUACCAGGUUCUCCUCAACAACCAAACAAUAACUUUUCAGUUGGUUUAUCUCAAAACCAAAAUAAAUUUCUCACAAGAAAGAUGUUACUACGAUACCCUCACACCAGAAUCAAAACACCUCAGAGAUAAAAUAUUCACUCUCAAGAGCAUUAAGGAAAAAGUGGGGAGAGAGAGAGUGAGAGAGAGAGAGAGAGAGAGAAUAGUGAGAAAUGGUAUUUGAUAUAUGUUUUCUAGUGUA